CCUACGGGAGGCAGCAGUAAGGAAUAUUGGUCAAUGGACGCAAGUCUGAACCAGCCAUGCCGCGUGCAGGAUGAAGGCCCUCUGGGUUGUAAACUGCUUUUAUAGGGGACGAAAAAGGGACUUUCUAGUUCAACUGACGGUACCCUAGGAAUAAGCACCGGCUAACUCCGUGCCAGCAGCCGCGGUAAUACGGAGGGUGCAAGCGUUAUCCGGAUUUACUGGGUUUAAAGGGUGCGUAGGUGGGUCGGUAAGUCAGCGGUGAAAUCUUCAAGCUUAACUUGGAAACUGCCAUUGAUACUAUCGAUCUUGAAUCAUCUGGAGGUAAGCGGAAUAUGUCAUGUAGCGGUGAAAUGCUUAGAUAUGACAUAGAACACCAAUUGCGAAGGCAGCUUACUACGGAUGUAUUGACACUGAAGCACGAAAGCGUGGGGAUCAAACAGGAUUAGAUACCCUGGUAGUCCACGCCCUAAACCGAUGGAUACUCGACAUACGUGAUAUACUAUGUGUGUCUGAGCGAAAGCAUUAAGUAUCCACCUGGGAAGUACGAUUCGCAGAUUGAACUUCAAGGAUUGACGGG
rnacentral:rRNA from 1 species